GUGCUCGCUUCGGCAGCACAUAUACUAAAAUUGGAACAAUACAGAGAGGAUUAGCAUGGCCCCUGUGCAAGGAUGACACACAAAACCAGCCAUCCUGUGAUU